rnacentral:rRNA from 1 species
AUUGAACGCUAGCGGGAUGCUUUACACAUGCAAGUCGAACGGCAGCGCGGACUUCGGUCUGGCGGCGAGUGGCGAACGGGUGAGUAAUGUAUCGGAACGUACCCAGUAGCGGGGGAUAACUACGCGAAAGCGUAGCUAAUACCGCAUACGCCCUACGGGGGAAAGCAGGGGAUCGUAAGACCUUGCACUAUUGGAGCGGCCGAUAUCGGAUUAGCUAGUUGGUGAGGUAACGGCUCACCAAGGCGACGAUCCGUAGCUGGUUUGAGAGGACGACCAGCCACACUGGGACUGAGACACGGCCCAGACUCCUACGGGAGGCAGCAGUGGGGAAUUUUGGACAAUGGGGGCAACCCUGAUCCAGCCAUCCCGCGUGUGCGAUGAAGGCCUUCGGGUUGUAAAGCACUUUUGGCAGGAAAGAAACGUCGCGGGCUAAUACCCCGUGGAACUGACGGUACCUGCAGAAUAAGCACCGGCUAACUACGUG